rnacentral:rRNA from 1 species
AACGAACGCUGGCGGCAGGCUUAACACAUGCAAGUCGAACGCACUCUUCGGAGUGAGUGGCAGACGGGUGAGUAACACGUGGGAAUCUACCCAUCUCUGCGGAACAACACAUAGAAAUGUGUGCUAAUACCGCAUACGCCCUUCGGGGGAAAGAUUUAUCGGAGAUGGAUGAGCCCGCGCUUGAUUAGCUAGUUGGUGAGGUAAUGGCUCACCAAGGCGACGAUCAAUAGCUGGUCUGAGAGGAUGAUCAGCCACACUGGAACUGAGACACGGUCCAG